GGGGAUUUAGCUCAGUGGUAGAGCACUUGCCUAGCAAGCGCAAGGCCCUGGGUUCGAUCCCCAGCUCCA
rfam:Rattus norvegicus chromosome 1, whole genome shotgun sequence.